CAAGAGAAAAGUCUGCCACUCAUCUGAUGUAGAAAUAGAUCAAAAGUAUAUAAGGAAGUAACUGCUUGAAAAGAUAAUAGACCCUACAGUAUAACUGUCAAAAAUGAUGAUGUACAUAAUGUUACAAGAAAACAGACUGAGGCAAGAUAUAAGGAAAUGUUUAGGGCAGCAUUAAAAUAGAAAACCCAAGACACCUUGGAGAUACAUAACGAGGAAACGUGUGGAAACUUGUGAUUGGAUGUGCAAAAAGAGGAAACGUGUGAUUGGUUAAAAUUGGAAAAUGUAUUGGAAUGUAAAUAAGGAUAUGGUAAACUAGCAGGAGCUUUGGUGCAAAUUACAUCUUCAUGUGGCGAGCAGUCCUGGUACCAGUUGGUUUGUUUGCUGUCUUGCAUUACUGCUUAUAAACUUAUUUGAAUAUCUGAAUUCAUGAAUUCGCUGUUUUAUUCAUCUUGAGUGUAAGAUAGAUCUUGUAAUUAGUUUAUAGUUUGAAUCUGUGAACUAGCAGGGUCAAUGUAGGAUGGAGAAGCAGCCACCUGACUGAGGGGACAAAGCCCCGCCAUCCUGACCAGACAACUUUGGCCAACCAUAGGAAAAGAUGCGUUUGUGCACUAAAGCCUAGUGUGACAACUCCAUGACUCUGGCGAUGAAUUGGAAGUUUUUUUUGAAGGAAGACAGCAUGAAUUGAGCGGAGGAGCAUUCCAGCAAGGAAUGGACAUGAGAAGAAGAAAUGCUCCUCAUCCUCCUCACACUUCUUCUGAGGCCUUCUCCCCCAACAUGCACGUGGAAUUUUCCACUGCAAAACUGACAACUCCAUCUACCCUCAGAGAAGUCAGAGAAGAGGGGUCACUUGUGUAUCACUCAUUUGAGCCAUUAGGAGAGCCAGUGCUCCUGCACCUACAACACAACCUGAACAGGUGGCACAAUAUUAACGAGGAUGAAGGGGUCUCCUGUACAAUAUCACUUUUCUCCAGCCCACAUUCCUUGGGUACAGCUUGAUAGCCAGCAGAAGCACACAUCUCUAGAGCUGUUCUAGUUAUUUUUUUGGUAAAGCCACUCUGCAACAACACAAACCGGUAUGCAGAGUAAAAGCAGAAUGGUAUGUAGGCACCAUGGAGUCCUGUAACUAGCCUGAAAAUAUGCAAAUUCCUGGGCCUAGUCAUUUACUGUAAAUAUAAAGCCAUCAAGAGAUUGAGAUUUGUGGAGAAAGAAUAAGCUACAUAAUUUUCCAUUCCAAACCUCUGUAUGGGCAUUCUACAGAUUUGAUGCAAUAUUCUGGAUCCUUACAAGCAACGUCAAAGAUGAUGAGCAGAAUGACCGGCUAAAAGGCAUCACUAGCUAUGAUUGGCUCUUUUAUGUGAAGCCCACCAGGAAGCAGCUCUUAUUGACAUGAGGGGUAUACUGUCCACCUCACCAGAACCUGGUCAUCGAUGAAAGAAAUGGAAGCCACAAGGUCUAGAAUUGUGGAUUUUAGGACUUAUGAGGCCAUGGGUUCAGUGUGUCUGAGCCAGUGCCGGCUCCAACUGCCAGUGACAUAUCACAGAUGGCAGAGAAGAGGCCAUGCUAUCCAGUGACAAUUGUAAACACCUCAACCUCUGCCCAGAGAGACAAAGCCUCAACUGGGAGAAAACACUGUGUACUGCCUUCAAAGGAAGUUCACCAAGACUAUUUACAAAUACAGGUCUUGUGAUGUGUUCCUGUGUACUAUAUUGGACCAUCUUUGUUUCAGUGAGUUGGGAUUAUGCCAAGGACAGCCAAGCUCUAUGAUGCGCACUAGAAUAUGACUCUUAAUAUUUUUUUAUUAAGGUUUUUUGCACUUUUGUUCAUGUUUUGCAUAUAGUAGUUUAUAUUUUGCACUUUCAUAUUUGUUGUAAAUAGUUAUUUUUGCCUCCUAAAAUCCAACCCCAUGUCUAUGUCAUAGGGGGUGGAAACAGCACCUUCUGCAUGCCUAUAUUACAUAUUUGACAGUGCUAAUUGGGCUCUUGUGCUGAUUUCAGUAAAGGGUAAAUGAGAUGUUUCAAAGUUCCAAACUCUUUAUUUGUGAAAUUGCACAUUCUGUAGCUAAGAGUUUCAUGGUUUUCCAAUUUGUUAUUUCAUUUUGUGCCAUUUGGAUAUGUUUUUGUCUAUUUUGUUGGUGGUUUGUGUCAUAUGGACAUGUUCUCUAUGUGUAAUAAACUCAUCUUCAUGAUUUCUUAACAUGUGCAUUAUGG